rnacentral:lncRNA from 10 species
AUAUCCUGCCUGAGCCUGGGCCGGGUGGAGGUGUCCUGCAUGGAGUCUUGUGAAAUCGCGUGGACUGCAACACCCAGCAGCGCGGGCCUUUGCACAAGCUUUUCCCACAGCCUGCAACACCUGCCCUUCUUCCCCACACUUGGCUUGUUCCCAGAAAUUCAUCAUCCUGUCUUAAAUGUCACACUCUUCAGAGAGGCCUUCUUUAGCCCAGAUACAUAGGUUAGGUUGGCCCAUGGGCUGGAGCGUCUGCGUCUUGGUCGGCCCGGCAGUGUACAUGUCAAGCAGCGCGCAAAGACUCCACAGCCAUUCGUAGGCACUGCUGGCCUCAUGCUCCAGACAGCCCUGGGACAAUGGGCCACCAAGGGAAAUCAAUGAUUGCGUGGGCGCAGGUGACCUCCAGCCUGCUUCAGGGCCACCCUUGUUCCCCAUGCCAACUCCCUCCUUCCUAUGGGCUCCCAAGAAAUGGGUGGCAGAGACCAGCCUGGUGAUUUACCUCCUGCCUUUCCGUGACUUCCUCCCAGUCCUGUGCAUCUCAUGUUUAAUUAUGAGGCUGUGGAAGGUGGUGAUAUUAAUUAUAGGGCUGAGGUUGUGUUACUUGGAGAAAGUCAGUGCACAUGUCAUUUGAUUUUCCUCAAGAAGGAAAACUGUAUUUUUUCCGAUCUCAAAAAUAAUUCCAGGGAAAUAAAUGUGUACAAUCACA